GACGUAGGGGGCCAGCGUUGUUCGGAAUUACUGGGUGUAAAGGGUUCGUAGGCGGUGUAGCAAGUCGGGAGUGAAAUCUCUGGGCUUAACCCAGAGGCUGCUUCCGAAACUGCUGUGCUUGAGUGUGGGAGAGGCGCGUGGAAUUGCAGGUGUAGCGGUGAAAUGCGUAGAUAUCCGGAGGAACACCGGUGGCGAAGGCGGCAUCCUGGACCGGUAUUGACGCUGAGGCGCGAAAGCUAGGGGAGCAAACGGG
rnacentral:rRNA from 1 species